UUCCCGCGAACACAUGUGCUCAGCACCGGCAUAUUUACCGUGUUCAUACAUAUUGUGUGCCUUUAUUGCGUGCUUAUCGUACUUGACAUUCGUCGACUGGACAUUUUGCACGUUUCGGAACGUCCUCCUGCAUUGAUCAAGGGGAGUGAUGCGUCGUCGUUCGUCGCCGCUCAAAACUGCCUCAUCGGACGCGCAGCUUGGUCUCCGCGCUCAAAAGUGCUUUCUUGCUUCGUUUAUCGAUUACUCACGUUGAUCGCGUGAUUCAAUAUUGAGUGUACUACCUCCAAAGACAAUCCACGUCCCAGUGUUGUGACAAGCGGCGACCGCGGUUGUACAGGAGCGGAAGCGUGAGCCUUUCGACGAGCGACUGUGAAGAAUGCAAAGCCAAUGCCAAACUUCGGAACCGAUAGCCCGGGCGGCGUGUUGGCACAGCGAGGAUGAUGAACCAGAGACCCGAUAGACAGCGAUGACAGCUGUUCACGGCACCGACACAGAGGACAGAUUGCAGUGCUAGAUAGGAGCGGUCUUCCUGCAAGCCCAGACAAGUCAUAUUGAGUGGUUUCAAAUACAGCAACUGUACCACCACGACAGUGCAGCACAAGAGACCCUAUCGUCAGUGCCGAGUCAGAAAUUAAAUAGAAAAGCGCUUUAUCCUGAAAUCUUUCAUCUGAUCUUAUUUCAUUUGUUUGUGAUUAUAAAACAGCGCUUUCGUAGGAAAUACAAAAUUUACCUAGCCCCGUUUAUUGUCCUAUUGAAACUAAAUAGGUUGACAAUUUAGUGCUUGUUUAUAAAUGCAUGUAUCAUAGACCUGCAAGAUCAUUUAUUGGCUUCGAAAGACUGUUACAUGUAAAGAAGAAUGGUGAUCUAGUCAUUGCUGGAAAUGGUCUGCUGGCAUUUAUGUGACAACCCUCUAAAGCAUACGCACUUUCGUAUUAUUAACGAAAAAAUAUUUACUG